rnacentral:rRNA from 1 species
AGUGAACGCUGGCGGUAGGCCUAACACAUGCAAGUCGAACGGCAGCACAGUAAGAGCUUGCUCUUACGGGUGGCGAGUGGCGGACGGGUGAGGAAUACAUCGGAAUCUACUUUUUCGUGGGGGAUAACGUAGGGAAACUUACGCUAAUACCGCAUACGACCUACGGGUGAAAGCAGGGGAUCUUCGGACCUUGCGCGAUUGAAUUAGCCGAUGUCGGAUUAGCUAGUUGGCGGGGUAAAGGCCCACCAAGGCGACGAUCCGUAGCUGGUGUGAGAGGAUGAUCAGCCACACUGGAACUGAGACACGGUCCAGACUCCUACGGGAGGCAGCAGUGGGGAAUAUUAGACAAUGGGCGCAAGCCUGAUCCAGCCAUACCGCGUGGGUGAAGAAGGCCUUCGGGUUGUAAAGCCCUUUUGUUGGGAAAGAAAAGCAGCAGGUUAAUACCCCGCUGUUCUGACGGUACCCAAAGAAUAAGCACCGGCUAACUUCGUG